AGGCAACCGAGGAAGGAAGAACCCAGCAGGAACCAUGGUUACUACCUAUAUCCAUGGUUACUACCUUAAUACAUCCAUGGUUACUACCUUACCUAGUGAAGCCGAAGCGGAUGUAGACUCUCGUUUGGUGUCGUCUUGAGGACGUGACGGAGAUACGAUGAUGUCAUCUGAAUCGUCAGAAUCAACUGCAGCGGCUCCACCAGACUCAGCUGAGCAGUGAAGCUCUGUUUGGACUGCAGGAGAUAGACAGCACAAGUCUGUCCAUAAUGAUGUCUAGUAGCAUUGUCCCAGGCUGAGACAAGAGCACACAUGAAACUUGAUGAAUUAGUCAUCAUUUCAACACCCUUCCCUCUCAGGGCUUGAGAAAGCUGGUGCCGUUAGAUGCCGUGACGCUGCAUCCUGUGACACACAUCGUGAUUACCGUGAGAUACAUCAAACACUACUGCCCUCGACUUGAUUCUAUUACGCAGGACAGUGGUUUCUACCCGGACUGUUUCUCCUGUCUGUGAUGGCAGAUCACUUUCUUAGAAAUUUGAGGCGACACUAGCCCGUAUAUUUGUCUAUAUGUUUACAAUCUUAUCUAUAAAUUUGUCAUCGUGAUUGUCCACACUGUAAUUUUACUAUGUUGAUCUAUUCUCUAAUACAAAUUUGUGAUUUGCAAUAUUGAGCUUUAGAAAUAAAAUUUGAUUUGACUCUUUGAUUUCUUCACUCUUGAUACCAAAAUCACAACAUUGCUGACAUAGUACAAAGAAAUGAACAUUGUGAGGACUAUAGUGCAAAGUAGGGCUGCACAAUUAAUCAAAGUUUUAUCGAAAUCACUAUCGCUAUUGCAUUAUCAGUCAAAAUAAUCACAAUUAGAUAUUUUCACAAAAUCAUGCAGCCUUACUGCAAACUGUAGUGUAAUACUGUACUGUGAAAAUAAAACCUAGAAUUAUAGACUGGUAAAAGUGUGAAGAAUAACUUGAGUAUACACUAAACAUAAAGUCUUUAUAUUUUAUUACAGUGGCCAAUAGUUUUUUAAAAGUAACUAUGAUAUUGAUACUAAGAGAGAUACAUUGAUUCUGAAGUGUA